ensembl:snRNA U6 U6 spliceosomal RNA
GCGCUCGCUUCAGCAGCACAUAUACUAAAAUUGGAAUGAUACAGGGAACAUUAGCAUGGUCCCCGCAUAAGGAUGACACUCAAAUUUAUGAAGAAUUCCGUAUUUUU